UACGAAGGGGGCUAGCGUUGCUCGGAAUCACUGGGCGUAAAGCGCACGUAGGCGGAUUGCUAAGUCAGGGGUGAAAUCCUGGAGCUCAACUCCAGAACUGCCUUUGAUACUGAAGAUCUUGAGUUCGGGAGAGGUGAGUGGAACUGCGAGUGUAGAGGUGAAAUUCGUAGAUAUCGAGAGGAACACCGGUGGCGAAGGCGGCGAUCUGGACGAUGACUGACGCUGAGACGCGAAAGCGUGGGGAGCAAACAGG
rnacentral:rRNA from 1 species